AUGGUUGAGGAGGUGAAAGAGAGUGUGGUGGUGGAGCCAGCAGCUGCAGCUCAAAUGGCAGUGGAGGAAGCAGUGUCUGCUCCAGUAACCGCUGAAGAGGUUGAGGGGGAGAAACUUCCAUCAGAGGCCCAUGUUUCAGAUGUUGUGGUUGAGGAACAGGUGGUAGAAACCUUGGCUGCUUUAGCAGUUGUUAAGGAAACAGUUCCUGUACUGCCUGAAGAAGUUCCUCCUGAAGUGGCAGAGAAAACUCCAGUUGCUCCAGAAUUAGUCGACGAAGCUCCAUUUGCCCCUGAAGUAGCUGAAGAAGUUCCAGUUCUUGUUGAGGAAGCUCCUGUUGCCCCAGAAGUAGUUGAAGCUCCAUCUGUUCCUGUUGUGGAUGAAGCUCCAGUUGCUCCAGAAGUAGUUGAAGUUCCAGUUGUUCUUGUUGAGGAAGCUCCUGUUGCCCCAGAAGUAGUUGAAGCUCCAUCUGUUCCUGUUGUGGAUGAAGCUCCAGUCGUUCCUGUGGCAGAGGAGGAUCCAGUAAUUCCUGUUGUGGAGCAGGCUCCAGUUUCUCCUGUAGAAGUAGAAGACAUACCAGUUGCUCAAGAGGUCACAGAAGAAGCUCCAGUUGUUCCAGUCGCAGAAGCUGCCCCAGAAGUGGCUGAGGAGGCUUCAGUUCCGCCGUCAAUCGAGGAAUCUGCGCCCAUGGUUGUAGAAGUUGCAGCCGAGGCCACAGCAGCUUCAGAGGUGACACCUGAGGAGGCCCCAGUAGCAACAGAGUCAACAGCAGAGUACAUUGUUGUGGUCCUUGAAGGUUCCCCAAAAGUAGAGAAGAAGCCCAGAGUGCUGGGAGUGUCACCCGUGAUUGGAAGGGUCAUCCCUGCCCAUGAUAAUGUUGAACCAGUUGCCCAGGUAACAGGCUGUUAACAAUGGCUGAUAGCCCAGGAAUCUAUAAUCUCA
rnacentral:lncRNA from 1 species